GGCUCUGUAGCUUAGGUGGUACAGCACUCGUCUAGCAUACAAGAGUGGUGGAUACAAACCCCACCUGAGCAA
rnacentral:tRNA from 1 species